AAGAUUUAUAAUAAAAGUCAAUACAUAUGAUAUAAAUUAUAUGUAUUGACUUUAAAUUAUACGAAAGGGUUUUAGGGCCUUGUUUUUUAAAAAUAAUUCAAUGUAAAAUUACAUAUAAAUACAAAGUGUUUUGGUGAGACUCUUGAGGCAAUAGGAUAAGUUAAAGACUACAGGCUGAAGUUGUGCCCUAAGAAAGCGAGUCAACAAUACGCAGUAUUGUAAAUAAAAUAGCCAGUAA
rfam:Staphylococcus sp. HMSC078E07 Staphylococcus_spHMPREF2905-1.0_Cont655.2, whole genome shotgun sequence.